rnacentral:lncRNA from 1 species
GAAGAUUGCUAGCUAAGCAUAGACACAGAACAAUCUUUUUGUUUAAUGGGGAAAGUAUCUAAUUCUUUUGAAGUGCAGAUAACAGUGUAGAUGUCCCCAAGCUUAUUUACAAGUCAGAUGAGUCUUCUAGUGCAUGACUAUGAUAUCCCUUCUCUUGAUACUUAGCGUAUUGGUGGAGAAGUGUGAACUUGCAAAACAAAAAUUAAAUUCAAUAUUUUCUUGAAAAUAGUUCAAUAUUAGAAAAUUGAAAAGGAAAUACUGCAUAAUGUAUGUUUCCCCUAAUGUAUGUUUGAAUUACUGCCUCCUUUGUUAUCUGUUGGAACCAAACACAGGAAAACAUUUACCUAAUAUUUUGCUCUUUUAUCCUCAUUGAUUUCCUUGAUCCAAACUAAGCUGAAUGGCUUGGUUAUGGUCUUUAUUAUUCCUCUGUCGGAGGUAGGAAAUAAAUUUUAGUAUAAUGAAUGCCGCAGAAUGGUGAUAAGAAGAUAAAUUAGAUUGCCAAAAAUAUCAGAUGUAGAUUCUCGUAAGUUAUGCUCACAAUGGAAGUACUAAACACACAACAUAUAAAUUGUGGGAAUAUGAUCACAUCAUUUUUCUUUUCUAUAUUGGAGUUAUCACUUAUCACAUGCAAUAUCAUUGUAUAACUUGAAGGAUGCUCAUUCAAAACUUGCUAGUUAGGUGAUACCCUUUCGAUAGACAUCGACUGGUAUGUCUCAUAGCUGUGUUGGACUAGCUACCCUAGAGAAUUAUCACAUUUAUAGGUGUGAAACCUUGGCAGUAUGAAGGGAGACAUCAUUCAUAGAACAGAGGAAGACAAAUUGUGGGAAGUUGCAAUUGUUCUUUUGAUUUCUGUGGUGAGGAGCCGAGGCAUUGAGUAAAGGUUUAAGAAAUGGGUGAGACUAGUGCCAUACAAUUGUGAGCUAGGACAGAUGGAGAACAACCGUCCAUUUAAAUCGAAAAGUAAUUUAAUUCUUUGAAGCAUUCCACAUGAGGUUAACUUAGUAGGUCCAUGAAGCUCAUUUACACAUUCGAAUUAGCUAAAAGCUCAUUUACACGUCUAGUUAGCUAAAUCUUAUUGCCAGUUUGAGAUGACUAAUAUAUCUUCAUUCAGUAAUUUAGGGUGUAGCAUUUCUAUGAUGAUGUGCUCUAAGAUAUCUAGGAAUAAAAGGUUUAUCCAAAUGAGUGCGAGGAGUGCCAUAAGAUGGCGAGCUGGUUGUUAUGUGUUGGU